GCAGUACAAAAUAAUUGACAUGCAUUUCCUAAAAUACUUGAGAAUUUCCAGUUUGCACCUUCAUGGUGCAAGGAAUUUUAUUUGCUUAGUGGGUCAUAGAAAUUACUGGAUCUAGGCUGCAGCUAUACAAAAUAAUUGAGAUGCAUCUCCUAUAAUACUUGGGAAUUUCCAGUUUGCACCUUCAUGGUCCAAGGAAUGUUAUUUGCUUAGUGGGUCAUAGAAAUUACUAGGGCCAGAUUGCAGCUACACUAAAUGGCAAAGAGACUUUCCCCCAGCCUGGAAGAAGAGGAGACCUUACUUCACGUCGUCAUCCUCAAGCCAGCAAUGGAAGAAGCCCACUCUGCUCAUUUUCUUCAUUGAAGACUUCAGCAUCCACACGGCUAUCGCUCAGGAGUCCAAAUCCAGCCAAGGAGGAAAAGCAUCUCCAGAGCUCCCUGCGUGUGUUCCAGCCCUAACCCUCCCCUGGCAUCACUGGACGUGGACACAGAAGUAUAUGCAGGUCAGUAUAGCAAUCAUCUCUUCUUCCGAGUGUAAUAUUCGCUUUG
rnacentral:lncRNA from 1 species